rnacentral:rRNA from 1 species
CGAAACCGAUAGCGAACAAGUACCGUGAGGGAAAGUUGAAAAGUACUCUGAAUAGAGAGUUAAAUAGUACGUGAAACCGCUUAGGGGUUAAGCCCGAUGAACCCGAAUAUCUGAUGUGAGAAAUUCAAUACAAUUCAAAUUCAUAUUUUUAUAUUGGAUUUGUAUAGUAUGCACUUUUCUCAUAGUAAGACAUUGUAAUCCAUUGAUAUUAUAUCUCGUUAUGAGAUGAUUUAACAUACGGACAAAAUGUUUAUGAUUAUUCUAUCAGUGAUAUGUUUACAUGUCAUAUGAAUAAAAUCGUUUUGUUUCCUGUUUAAAUAGUCGAUGGAUUUUUGAUUGAAAUCAUGCUUGCAAUUUAUUUUGCGUUUCGUAUCAUUAAUUUUUAAUUUUUGAUAGCAGAAAUGGUAUGUAUUCGAUUAACAAUGCGAUAGAUUUGGGAUACUUUCAGGACCCGUCUUGA